GCCAUGGGCGCCGCUAUGCCCGCACCGACGGCAAGGUUUUUCAGUUCUUGAAUGCAAAAUGUGAAUCUGCAUUCCUUUCCAAGAGAAAUCCCCGUCAAAUCAAUUGGACUGUUCUGUAUAGGCGUAAACACAAGAAAGGACAGUCAG